rnacentral:rRNA from 1 species
CUCAAACUCUGGUUUAUAUCACUAUUUAAAAUAAUAUUAUAUAAGUAAAAGAAUUGAAUUUUAUCCACAAAAAAGUACUGAGAAGGAAAGUUUCGUUAAUUUUAAAGAAGUUAUUUAUUAUACCUUUUGUAUCAGGGUUUAUCUAAUUUUGACCAGUAUUGUCAAAUCCCGAAAUAAGGUGAUCUAUGUUAAUUAAAGAUGACUGUUUCAUAAUUCUCUUCAAGAUUAAUGUCGGUGUAAAAAAUAUUUCGUACCUUUAUAUCUGGUUGGCAUAAGACUCCUUUAGGGUACUCCACAAGGAAGAUUUUCUAGGGGACGAGCUCUAGAAAAAAUUACAUCAAACCACCGUCAGUGAUAUGAAUAGGCUUAAAAGUUGCCAGGGUGUAAUAACCAGGCUCACUUAGAUAAUAAUUUAAAGUUGAUUAAUUCAACCUAGCCAGUGCUGGUUAUUAAUAUCCAGCAGUUAUAAUGAUAAAAUUAGUAUAAGUAUAAAAAUAUAAUAGAAUUUAUUCUAAAAAUUCUGGAAGGAAUUCGGCAAAACUCGCUUCCGC